AACACAAUAAUAUAACUUCACAAAUGCUCAUAAAAAUAGAAACGAUGAUAAAAAAUAUGAAAAAUUCGAUUUGGUACAUCAUUCAGUUGAGUUUUUCACACCCUUAAUUAUUAAUUAUAACCCAUUACACAUCCAAUUUCAGACUUCAAUCUCCUUUGAUCAUAACCAUCAUUUUCAUUAAUAUUUAUCAACCAAUCCUAACCAAUCAAGUCACCAAAUUCAACGGCUGAGAUUGAACUCUUCUUAUCCUUCUUCACUGAUGAGAUCCUUAUCCUCUCCCACUUCUCGCGAAAAUCGAUCGAACAACCGCCACUCAUCUUCUCUUUAAUACUCUGUCAGGCAUCAGUACAGUCGUGACAACCAAGAGACAAGCGUCGCUGUUUCUAUUGGCGUGUUCACGACCGAGCCGUCGUGAGCCUCCUCCAGCGAGCUUCGGUGAAGCAAGCGAGUCUAGCGAUCUUCGGAGGCGUUCAGACCUACGUCUAUCAAAAAUGGAUUUGUAAAGAUUCGUCUGAUCUAACUGGAAUCAAAAAUGAAGUUCAUGAAAAGUUAAAGAAAAGUGUUGGGAAAUGAAGUCCUCAAAAUGAUAUUAGAGAUUCCGUUUGUAAAGGGAGGUGUGUCGGAGGAAAUUUCAUCAACAAAUCUAAAGUUGGGGAUAACAACUCAAUUUUUUUUGCUCAAAACAAGUGAAGCUCACGAGAUAGGAGAAAGACGUAAUGAUUAGAUUACAUUGUAUCUUUCAAGAUAAGCAUAUCAUUGUUAUAGGACAUUAUUUUGUCAUAAAUUGUCUACAUUUGUGACAAAACAUUUGUCUUCAAAUUAUUUUCUGAUCAAUUAUAUAAUUUAUUUUUAAUUACGUAUUGAA